rnacentral:rRNA from 1 species
GACGAACCGUGCGAACGUUGUUCGGAAUCACUGGGCUUAAAGGGUGCGUAGGCGGCGCGGUAAGUCGGGUGUGAAAUCUCGGAGCUUAACUCCGAAACUGCAUUCGAUACUGCCGUGCUUGAGGACUGGAGAGGAGACUGGAAUUUACGGUGUAGCGGUGAAAUGCGUAGAUAUCGUAAGGAAGACCAGUGGCGAAGGCGGGUCUCUGGACAGUUCCUGACGCUGAGGCACGAAGGUCAGGGAGCAAACGGG